AACGCACCUUGCGCUCCUCGGUGUUCCGAGGAGCAUGCCUGUUUGAGUGUCAGUAAAUUCUCAACCCCUCUCGAUUUGCUUCGAGCGGGUGCUUGGAUGUUGGGGGCUGCCGGAGACACUGGACUCGUCCAGGACUCGGGCUCCUCUUAAAUGAAUCGGCUCGCGGUCGACUUUCGACUUUGCAUGACAAGGCCUUUGGCGUGAUAAUGAUCGCCGUUCGCCGAAGUGCAAGACAGAAUGGUCCCGUGCCUCUAAUGCGUCGACGCCUCUAGGGGCGUCUUCCUCAUUGACGUUUGACCUCAAAUCAGGUAGGACUACCCGCUGAACUUAA
rnacentral:misc_RNA from 1 species